rnacentral:rRNA from 1 species
UACGUAGGGUGCAAGCGUUAAUCGGAAUUACUGGGCGUAAAGCGUGCGCAGGCGGUUUUGCAAGACAGAUGUGAAAUCCCCGGGCUCAACCUGGGAAUUGCGAUGGAGACUGCAAGGCUAGAAUCUGGCAGAGGGGGGUAGAAUUCCACGUGUAGCAGUGAAAUGCGUAGAGAUGUGGAGGAACACCGAUGGCGAAGGCAGCCCCCUGGGUCAAGAUUGACGCUCAUGCACGAAAGCGUGGGGAGCAAACAGG